CGAAUAAGCAUCGGCUAACUCCGUGCCAGCAGCCGCGGUAAUACGGAGGAUGCGAGCGUUAUUCGGAAUCAUUGGGUUUAAAGGGUCUGUAGGCGGGCUAUUAAGUCAGGGGUGAAAGGUUUCAGCUUAACUGAGAAAUCGCCUUUGAUACUGGUAGUCUUGAAUAUCUGUGAAGUUCUUGGAAUGUGUAGUGUAGCGGUGAAAUGCUUAGAUAUUACACAGAACACCGAUUGCGGAGGCAGGGGACUAACAGACGAUUGACGCUGAGAGACGAAAGCGUGGGGAGCGAACAGGAUUAGAUACCCUGGUAGUCCACGCUGUAAACGAUGGAUACUAGCUGUUUGGAGUAAUUUGAGUGGCUAAGCGAAAGUGAUAAGUAUCCCACCUGGGGAGUACGCACGCAAGUGUGAAACUCAAAGGAAUUGACGGGGGCCCGCACAAG
rnacentral:rRNA from 1 species